rnacentral:rRNA from 1 species
AUUAGAUACCCUGGUAGUCCAUGCCGUAAACGAUGAGUGCUAGGUGUUGGAGGGUUUCCGCCCUUCAGUGCCGGAGCUAACGCAUUAAGCACUCCGCCUGGGGAGUACGACCGCAAGGUUGAAACUCAAAGGAAUUGACGGGGGCCCGCACAAGCGGUGGAGCAUGUGGUUUAAUUCGAAGCUACGCGAAGAACCUUACCAGGUCUUGACAUCUUGCGCUAACCUUAGAGAUAAGGCGUUCCCUUCGGGGACGCAAUGACAGGUGGUGCAUGGUCGUCGUCAGCUCGUGUCGUGAGAUGUUGGGUUAAGUCCCGCAACGAGCGCAACCCUUGCCCUUAGUAGCCAGCGAGAGAGACGGGCACUCUAGGGGGACUGCCGGGGACAACCCGGAGGAAGGCGGGGACGACGUCAAAUCAUCAUGCCCCAUAUGGCCAGGGCUACACACGUGCUACAAUGGCGCGCACAGAGGGAGGCGAAGCGGCGACGCGGAGCGAAGCCCGGAAAGCGCGCCCCAGUUCGGAUUGCAGCCUGCAACUCGGCUGCAUGAAGCCGGAAUCGCUAGUAAUCGCGGAUCAGAACGCCGCGGUGAAUACGUUCCCGGGUCUUGUACACACCGCCCGUCACACCAUGGGAGUCGGGAACGCCCGAAGUCGGUGCCCCAACCGUAAGGAGGGAGCCGCCGAAGGCGGGCCCGGCGACUGGGGUGAAGUCGUAACAAGGUACC